GGAAGCUGUUGGGGCAACCCAGUAAGAUAUGUGGGGUAUAAAUAGUAAAAUUAUCAUUAUGGAAUGGGAUGUCCCUAUUUUCAUCAGACAAAUGUUGGAAGAUAUGAUUGCUGUUAUUGUUAUUAUAUUUAUACCCUUUACCUUCCUCCCAAGGAGCCCAUUGCUGAAAAUAUAUCAAACUUAAAACAGUUAAAACUUCUAAAAUACAGUCUAAAAGAACCUUCAAAAAAAUAAAUAAAACCCUGUUUAAAAAUCCUAAAAACCAUAAUCUACUCUCAAAGUAAUAAAUUCAGGGUUGCCAGGGACAGAACUUUAGCCAUCAAGAACCUUGGAAAACAGGAAGGUUUUAAUUCUCCUAAAAGUUAAUUAUGAGGGAAACUGAUGUACCUCACUAGGGAGGGUGUCCCACAAAGGGGGACUGCCUCUAUUGUAAACCUCUGCACACAGCGGAGUGGCUGAAUUCAUAGGGACCUUAAGAAAACACCAUGCAUUAUGAUUUCAUGUUUUUAGAUUUUCAAAACAUUACAUAAUAACAUGAAAGAAUGAAUAGUCACAGCUGGCUGACAUCCAGCCAUCCAAAGACUGUGCACAUCUUUGUGUAUGUCAGUCACUUAAGAUUAAUCUGUAAUGAGACUCCAGGGAAAGUGUUGCUGAUGUUGUUAAUUUUGUGAUUUUGUUCUUUUUUAAAAAAUAAAAAUAAAUGGUGUUGCAUAAUACACAACAAAAUUGACAACAAAAUCCUGCCCUCAGGCUUACACUCCAAAUAAUUAGUCACAUGAGAAAAAGGAAGAAACCAGGGGUGCAAAGUCAGUAUGGUUACACAACAUAUUGGUGGUGUUUAAGCAAGAGGGCUAGGCUUCACCAGCACCUUUGAGUUGUCAAGAAGUUGAGCAUCAGAAAAUACUGUAUUCCUGCCAGUAACAAUUCUCCUCAUUGGCUUUUCUUACCAGUCUAAGGGAAGACUGAGAGCUGACAGGUGGGAAAGAUGUUGCAAAAUGGAUUCCUGAUUAUGACGUAUGGUCAUAUGUCUGUAUCUGGCUGAAUGGACAAAUUUCACCAAGAAAUUCACUGUCCAGGACUGAAAAACUGAUUUGAAUACCAGAAUUUCACCUACGUGUUUUGCACAGCAAUUGUUAUUGUUCCCUUUUGGUUUGGGCGCUUUCCUUAGUAUGCUUUGCAGAACAGGAAACGUGAGUGUGCACACACCUAAAUUUGAAAAAGUAUAUUCUUUGUUAUACAGUUGACCAAAAUCAAGGCUCUCUUCAGAAAAUUUGGAAUUUAUAACAACAGUCAGAGUGUUUACGAAAAGCUUUCUGUAAUAAUAUCCUCCAGUAUGUAGAAAGAAUUGAGCUUUUUCCCAGAAGCAUUUAUUUAUUUAUUUUCCACUAUCCAAAUGUUUUUGGUAUGUGUAAGGGAAAUACUUCAGAGAUACCAGUAAUCUGGCUUUAUUUCUGCCAAAAGCACUUCUCUGCAAAUGCACUCUGUUUCCUGCUAAGAAUUUCAUUUACUGUUUGUACAGAAUACAAAGUGUUCUUAAUCAAGCAAAGAAAUAAUGCCACUAUUAUUCUAAGUAACAAAUAUGUUUGAGGCAUAAAUGUGCAAGUGUGUGCGCAUGCGUUCAGCACAAAGGGAAUAUCAAACUAGUUAGAUUGUUUUAACAGAUUUAGCACAGUCUUUGAUAGCUUUGUAAACAGGAGAUGCUAUAGUGUUAAGACCCAGGCUAUACUGGGGGUGGGGUGGGGGAUCCAAGUAUGCUCCAUAUGCUGGAACAUCAUAAAUGAAAAUCCCUGGCAAAAAUACAUUAGUUUUGAAAAACAAACAGAUGUAGUGCAUCAGCUUAAAAGUCAAUAUAUCCUGAGCAGUAGCAUCAUGUGUAAAACUGCAAUGGUAAUUUCACUUGGUCAAAGGUCGGGCUGGAGCAUGCAGCUCCCUGUAGUCCCAAUCUUAUAAAAUAAUCAUUAGGAAUUCCACAUGUUAGCAGUGAACAUGAGCUAAAGCAAAAGUCCCAUUCUGGUGUCUUGCCUUUGCUUUGUAAAAAAUUCAUUUGAUUAAUAUUUCAGUUUCAGGGAAGUGUGGACAGGAAGAAAAAGUUCUCCUUAAUGACCUCAAUUGUGCUAAUGCAUCUAGUGAAAACUUUGCUUGGGUAUGUUUGCAUAAUUUUAAAUGUCCCCCGCCCUUGUAAUAUGAUGGCUUUGAGUUUCACUGAAGGAAUCUAUGUUAUUUUACCUUCCAUAGUGCCUCUGGUUAACUUCCUGAGGGCCUCAGAAAAGCCAAUUGCUUAAUGGCAGAAGAUCAUGACUAAUUAGUUCACAUGGCUUGGUGAAUCCUCCCAAAUAUUCUCUCCUCCCCCACCCCACAUAUGUUUAAAGAUAUUUCUGCUAAUUUACAAUCUGAAAGAUAGGUGAGGAGUUGAGAGUUUGAAAAAUAGAUUACUGUCUUCAUUAAUACAGGUUUGACCUACAAAGUCUUCACGUACUUAAUGAUUAAAAACCAAAGUACUAAAUAAUAAAUUAUAAGAAUUUAUAGGAGUCAUCAUCUUGAAAUUAGCUUACCGAAUGUUCUUAUCAUAAUAAAUCUGAGUGGGUGUCUAAUUUAGAGUUAGCUGCCUAAAAUUAUAUGUUGCAGAUAGAUACAGGAAGGAAGGAAGGAUCUUUUUGUUUCAACUCCCCCCCCCCCAAAAAAAGAAAUCCCAUUGUGAAUUUAAUUACACAUGGCAGAAAUGAGAUCAGUGUGUCUGUGUUGCAGAAACAGUAUGAAUGUAAAGAAAAAUUCUAGUUUGAGAAGUAAAUAUAGUAAGAAUUCCUCUGCCAAAUCAACAGUAGUAACACUACUUCAGUAGGCAAGAACUAGUAAAAAUCCAAGUGAAAUCUACAAUUGGAUCUCAGCAGUUGCAAUAGAUAUGCUUGCUGAAAUCCUUCUUAUCCCAAUUAUAACAAUGGAUUUAGUUUCUUCCCCUUUCCCUUCCCCACUGCCCUUAAAGUCUUCAGCAUUGCUCAGAAUUUUUGUUGUUUUGUUUAGGUUUUUCAGUCCCAUACAUCUGGAGUCUGGAAACUUUUUAAUAGUUGCUGUACUACAGUGAUUCAAAGUAUUAGGCUCAUAUGUCUGUAUCUACUUACAGCAGGAUCAAAUUUACCAUUCAAACAAGUGGAACUUGCAACAAAAUGUUGUUCUGUAGGGUGUUUCUGUUUGUGAUGCAUUCCCUUUUCCAGGAGACACCAUUCCAGUCCAUUCCUCUCCCCGCCCCCCAAUUCACAAUACUGUACUUUCAGCGUUCCUUGCCCACUGAGCACACUCAAGCCUCACUAUUUGGGUGGGGGCUCUCCUGCUUUUAGUCCCCCCCCCCCAAUUAUUUUUUUAUCUUUCAAACUCUGGGAUUGCUUUGAGCAUGUACUCUCCCACUUCAGAUAAAUGCUAGAACCCAUCAUGCUGAAACCUCCUUCAAUGCAACCACUGUAGUUCCCACUAUUCCCUGGGUAUCGCAUGUAGUCUUAACACAUAUGAUGAAAUGAAUGUGUUCAUAAGACUUUAUAUGCCUGUCAGCCAAUGAUUACUCGUAGUGGUAAGCCCUAGUAACACCAACGCUGGCUGUAGAAAGGGAGGAUGUGGGAUUGUGCCUUGUGUUCAAGGUAUCAUUCACACAGGGGUUUAUGCAUGAACGUGGGGUGGUGGGAGCUCUGCCAUUGGUCAACAGCCAAGGUAGACACCUCAAUAGGCAGCAGAACCUUUAGUACAGGGGCAGGGAACCUCAGGCAUGGGGGCCAAAUACGGCCCUCAAAGUCUCUCUACCUGGCCUGUGGAAUUCUACCCAGGGCAUGCUCCUCACGUGUAGAAAAUACCCUACUAUACAUAAGUAAAAUGUUGUCUCUGGCCCUGCCCAGAACUGGCAUGUGGCCUUAGAAGGUUACCCUGAAUGGAAUACUGCCCUCAGGCUGAAAAAGGUCCCUUACCCCUAUAGUAGUACCACAAACCUGGUCUUCCUUUUUGCAUUAAUUUCUGCAAUUGAUGACCAUCUGCCCAGCAAUUGAAGGUUCCAAAUAGCACUGCAUGCAACUUGCAAGCAGUAGAAGACACUUGAAAGACUUUGGUAGUUCAGGCUGGCCUUU